rnacentral:rRNA from 1 species
GAUCCUGGCUCAGGACGAACGCUGGCGGCGUGCCUAAUACAUGCAAGUUGAACGCUGAAGACUGGUACUUGUACUAGUUGGAUGGGUAGCGAACGGGUGAGUAACACGUGGGUAACCUACCUCUUAGCGGGGGACAACUAUUGGAAACGAUAGCUAAUACCGCAUAACAAUCACUAACACAUGUUAGUGAUUUGAAAGCACCAAUUGGUGCACUAAGAGAUGGACCCGCGUUGUAUUAGCUAGUUGGUAG